UGUCAAUGGAAGCUUGCUGCAAUGGCGGAUCUCUGCUCUGGGGUAACAUGCCUUGGCUGUGGCCAUUGAGUUUGGUAAUGAGUUUGAAACUUCAGCUGCAGAGUGGGGAAGGAGACCUCUUCCAACGCUGGGUCGGGUAUAGGUCUAUGGAUCUGCCUUGGGAAUCUGGUUUGUUUUGGUUUGGGCCUGCAUGUUGGCCUGGACCUUG
rnacentral:lncRNA from 1 species